rnacentral:rRNA from 1 species
AGUGCAGAGAUGCACUCCCCGCAAGGUCUCUACACAGGUGGUGCAUGGUUGUCGUCAGCUCGUGUCGUGAGAUGUUGGGUUAAGUCCCGCAACGAGCGCAACCCUCGUCCUAUGUUGCCAGCACGUUAUGGUGGGAACUCAUGGGAUACUGGCGGGGUCAACUCGGAGGAAGGUGGGGAUGACGUCAAAUCAUCAUGCCCCUUAUGUCUUGGGCUUCACGCAUGCUACAAUGGCCAGUACAGAGAGAUGCAAUACCGUAAGGUGGAGCGAAUCCCAAAAAGCUGGUCUCAGUUCGGAUUGAGGUCUGCAA